rnacentral:rRNA from 1 species
UGGGGAAUUUUGGACAAUGGGCGAAAGCCUGAUCCAGCAAUGCCGCGUGUGUGAAGAAGGCCUUCGGGUUGUAAAGCACUUUUGUCCGGAAAGAAAUCCUUGGCUCUAAUACAGUCGGGGGAUGACGGUACCGGAAGAAUAAGCACCGGCUAACUACGUGCCAGCAGCCGCGGUAAUACGUAGGGUGCAAGCGUUAAUCGGAAUUACUGGGCGUAAAGCGUGCGCAGGCGGUUUGCUAAGACCGAUGUGAAAUCCCCGGGCUCAACCUGGGAACUGCAUUGGUGACUGGCAGGCUAGAGUAUGGCAGAGGGGGGUAGAAUUCCACGUGUAGCAGUGAAAUGCGUAGAGAUGUGGAGGAAUACCGAUGGCGAAGGCAGCCCCCUGGGCCAAUACUGACGCUCAUGCACGAAAGCGUGGGGAGCAAACAGGAUUAGAUACCCUGGUAGUCCACGCCCUAAACGAUGUCAACUAGUUGUUGGGGACUUCAUUUUCCUUAGUAACGUAGCUAACGCGUGAAGUUGACCGCCUGGGGAGUACGGUCGCAAGAUUAAAACUUAAAUGAAUUG